AGCUCUAGCUCUUGCUCUUGCUCCUUCGCCUGCUUGCUGCGUGAGACUGAGUAACUGCUGGAUCCUUGGACUUCCAUUCACAGCUGCGACUGAAUCAUUGUUGGGAAUUGGGCUGCCGACUGAAGGGACUCUACAGUCUACUGAAUUGAAAGAGAAAUGUUGACAGCAACUCAGCCACUAGCUUUUGACCUGCAACCUGUUCUGCCUGAAAACUAUGCUUGGGAAAUUGUGGCACAGAACUUGUUGAAGUAGCCAAAUAAUCUCUGACUUGACUUCAGGUCCACUACAAGAGAAGAAAUCCAUGCACAAAACUGCUUGGGUAACCAAAAAAUAUAGAAUAAAUAGCCCAGAGACCUAGAGAAUAAAGCCCAACACUACUGAUCUAAAAAAAAAAAAUCAAUAAAAUGACUUAUAAUUAUAUUCUACUACUCUUGACAAGUGCCUUAUCCAGUCAGCAUCAGAGAGGCCUCCUUCUGCAACAGAUGGUCACAUGUAGAGGCCCACAGACAGGCAUUCCCUGAAGAAAGAUUCUAAUUGGGAUAUCUCCAUCAAGUCUCUCCUCUCAGAGCUCAGAUAGUCUUUCGGGAACAGAAGUAGAAGAUUUUAACAGCAAGAGGGCAUGGAGGAUUCCAGGAGUACAAGGCUCUCCCGAUCAACUAAGCAAAGCAUAAAUGAGCUCAGAGUCGGAAGCAGCAAGCACAGGGCCUGCAUGGUUCUGCACCAGAUCCUUUCAAUAUAUUACAGCUUUUAUUAUAGCCUUUUUAUGGAACUCCUGACUAUGCCUAAUAUGCCUACUCAUGGUACCCUUUCCUCCCAUUGAGUUGCUGUGUCCAACUGAGAUAUGAUAGUGUUUGCCUCACAUUAUUGUAUCCUACUUUGCCAUGUUUGAUUUUUAUCAUUUACAAGCCCAAUUUUUUCUAAUGAGAGACAGAAAAUAGUAGAAUGAGUCAGGACAGAAGGCAGUGAUAAACUGCAUGUGAGGAGUAGGAGAGGAAACUAUAACCAAGAUCUAUUGUAUGAGAAAAGAGUCUCUGUGCUCAAUAAAAGGAAAAACAUGAAAAAAUGAGGAUUAAAACAAUACUUUAGUAUAAUGCCUGACAUAUAAGUUAAGUAUCACAAAUAUAACAUAUUAAUAAUAGUAGUAUUAAAUAAUGGAUGAUACAAAUGGAAUCAAUGAAAUUAGACCUAAGGCUCUAGGGAGUGGGAUGGUAUGGAGAGGUGGGAAUUGGUGGUGUGGACCUUCUCUUGGAAACAGGGGAGGAGGAAUGGGAUGAGGACCAGUCAGAGAGCAGACCCUGAUGGGGAUAACACAAGUACCCCAGGUUAUUACUAUGGAAAAGGAGGAGGUGGAUCUGGGUAGGAGGAGAAGAUGAGUGGAAGGGAGAGGAAAGUUCAGUAAGGAUGUAAUAUAUGAGAGAAGAAUUUUAAAAAUGAAAUAUAAGUAGCAUUUCAAACUG
rnacentral:lncRNA from 1 species